CCCUUAGAUGUUCUGGGCUGCACGCGCGCUACACUGACGCACGCAACAGGUGCCUGCUCCGAGAGGACUGGGUAAUCAUUUGAGUGUGCGUCGUGAUGGGGAUAGAAUAUUGUAAUUAUUACUCUUCAACGAGGAAUUCCUAGUAAGCGCCAGUCAGCAGCUUGCGCUGAUUACGUCCCUGCCCUUUGUACACACCGCCCGUCGCUCCUACCGAUUGGAUGAUCCGGUGAGCUAUUCGGACUUUCGCAUUGUCGAUUUUCGGCUUUACGAGGGAAAGUCUCGCGAACCUUAUCAUCUAGAGGAAGGAGAAGUCGUAACA
rnacentral:rRNA from 1 species